UUUCCAAAUAGAACAGACUUACAUAAUAGAAGUAUGUAAUGGAAUACAACAUAAAAAAGCCUUAUCACCCCCAUGAAUUUACCCCCUCACACACACACAAAUAAAAGAUAAAAGGAAAUAUACAAAGAAAUAUCUUUUUUUUUUUUUGGUCUUUUUAAGGUCUGCACCCAUGGCAUAUGGAGGUUUCCAGGCUAGUGGUCAAAUCCGAGCUGUAGCUGCUGAGCUGUAGCUGCUGGCCUACACCACAGCCACGGUAACAGUAACUCUGAUCCAAGAGGUGUCUGUGACCUAGAACAAGGCGUUCUAGAUGUAAAUCUAGAUGUAAAGUUCUAGAUGUAAACCUAGAACAAGGCAUUCUAUAUGUAAACCUAGAACAAGGCAUUCUAGAUGUAAACCUAGAACAAGGCAUUCUAGAUGUAAAGAUGUCAUCCUUUGUGCUAAAGGGGGGCCUGAAAAAUGGCGACUGGAAAAAGCCCAACUGUUUGCCUUGUACCUCACACCUCCAUGUUUCUUCUCCCAUUCUCCCCCAUCUUCUGGUUCUCCGCAUCAAAUCUGGAUAUCUCUCUCCCUUAUUCUGCUUCUUGCUGACCCCUUGCUUGCUCCUUCUAUUCUAGCAGACCUCCUGAUCCCUGGCCCUGUGCACCACCCCCAUCCCUGGUGACUAGGACAACUCUGGCACAGGCUGGUUUUGGAUAUGGUGUCUACCUUAGGAAGGACCAGUCACCAGGCCAAUGGAUGCUGACCUGAAAAGACUCAAUACCUGCCAGCAUCACGAGCCCUCCCCUGCCUCCUCCAGGGAGGAAUCUGGAUGGGUCAUCUCCUUUUUAGAGUCAUUUUCUCCUUGCUACCUGGACAACAAACUAGCCAAGUGCUCUCCUGAAGAAGAGGAUCAGAGGCACCUUUUCAUUCUGAUGAUGGAUGGGUAAGAUGAAUGGCAAAAACACUGUACAAGAGUACAAAGAGAAGGGACAUGGAUCUGGCUGUGUAAAAAUAAGACAAAACUAUGCAUUUCUGAAUAUAGAAGAACAGCUCCAAAAGUAAAAGGACACAACAGAUUAUGAAAAAUAUCUUCAGUAAAUAUUAUAAAAGUGACAUUGAGAACAGAGAAAUUGGUAAGGAAAAGUUUAAGGGCCUAUCUGAUGAUUAAGCAAGGAUAUUAAAAUACAAAUCAUUAUUAAAAAUGUAAAUAAUAAACAAACAUUUGGAAGGGCGCUCACAUUCACAGUCACUAAAAUAUGUAAAUUUAAGCAACAAGCAUACAUUUGGGGCUUCUGUCUACAUCUUCCAUAACUAAACCAAUUUUUGGGGUCUUUUUAGGGCUACAAGCGUGGCAUGUGGAGAUUAAUUGUUACUUAGUUUAACUGUUUUAUGGCAACGUGAAUUUCUGUCUUUGCCAAACACACUAAGGUACUAAAAUAUUAUGAGCCCAGUGAUUUUAUAUUACUAUACCGAGUAAAACUACCUGGGCUAAUUGCAAACACAGUAUUAUUUUACAGCAUAAUUUAGCAAUGGAUGUUAUGCUAAAUCCUUUAACAUUUGGUUUUCACAAAUAUAUGAGAAAAAGACAAGAACACUCUUCGAAUCAAGUAAGAAGUAUUACCUCAUAAUAAAGAUAUAAAAUUAAGGAAUAACAGUAACCUCAUGCUGUUUUAUGAGGCAAUAAUCUAGUUCCCAGCUCUAUUUCAAGACCAUUCCCCCAGAAAAGGUGAAUUUAAAAUAGUAAUAAUAGCAACUUCACUCAUUCCAAGUUAGACUAUUUCUCCUAAAGUUAGGUUCUCAAUAUACAGAAAAUGAAUCAUAUCCUUUUCUUUAUUCUCUGCUCUAAAUGUAAGGUGGAAACUCCUCUUCUUAGAAAAUCAGAUUUUCAAAAAUCACAAUCCUUCUAACUUAAAUAUAUAAUGAAAUUUAUGCACGAAAUGUUUAAAAUAACUCUCAAAAAUGGAAUGAGGGACUGAGGCGUAGGCCAGGUGGUAGAGACAGCAAGGGACCCUGUGCCUUUAAGAAAGAGAUAUUGAAUGAAGUCAAAGGAGUUCCUAGAAUUUGUGUGAUGUCACCCUAGUCUUCUUUCUGAUCAAACCAUCAACAAAAAUUAGAUUGUCCAGGCAUGCUUGAUUCUGGCUAAAUAAACACAAACAUGGGGGAGGGGGGGCUCUCCGUGCCAAGGUGGGCAUAUGACAAAGACAGAAGCUGCAGGGAUGCUCCUCCACCUCUGGAUUAUAGACACAUAUGGACACAUACGGCAAGGCCCCCACUGGUCAUCAAAGCUGGACCUCUGGGCUUUGUCAUCAACUCCUUGCCCACUCCUCUCCAUUCAAUACAUGGCCACGUCCUAUCAACACUUCACAGUUUUCAUUCAAAUCUCUCCAUGUUCCUCUCCUCACUGCUUCAAGCCAUGGUCAUCCCUAGACUGGACCAACGGCCUCCUAAGGGCCCUCCAGUCCUGCUCCCUGGACCACACGGUUCACAGGGCAGAGUGAUGAUAAUUUUAAAAUAAAGCCCUGACUGUAUUCUCUUAAAACAAUUCAUAACUCUACCUCUUCUUUAGGAUAAACCAGAAGUUCUUUCAUUGGCCCCACUUGCAGACAUGGCACUGCAUCUCUGCCAAAAUGUCCCAAGAUGGGUAACCAGUAAUCAGGUGCUUUUUGUUCCCUGCAGCCACUGACCAAGGUGGGCAUUCCCAGGGAGAGCUCCAUCGUCUGUCUCCCUGAUGUCCAGUUCUUGUUCCCCUGUCUUUGUCAUCCUCUCACCCUGUCGCUAUCAUGGCACUGCCCUGCAACCAAAGGCUGGGCAUUCCACCAGGAGCCUCCUAUUGGUGGGGGCGGCAGGGGCGGGGGGGUGGUGUACACAGCAGAGGCCAAGUUUGCUUCCUGCUGAAGUGCAAAGAAGAAAAGAGGAGGAAAGAGACUGCAGUCCCAUGUUCCAAAUGUCUAGUGUUUCCCCUAGGGAAAGAUGUAAAGAUUGAAGGCUGCCCAAACUCCUGUUCCGGCCCCUGUGCAGGCUCUGGAAUGGGGAUGGAGGUGCAUGGACAGUCCCGUCCAUAACCUCUGGCACAGCCCCCUUUCAAUCUAGGUAGGGGCUUUGGAGAAUGUCUGUACCCGUGCAGUUUCCUGGGCCAAGGGAGAGUGUCACGCCACUAUAUUCUAUCAUCCAGAACAGCUAUGCUAUUAUUUGACUUGCAGAUUAUCACAUUGCAAGUGAAUUUUCAAAAAUAUUUAUGUACCAAAUAAAGGCUUGCUUGCACAGGGGUAUAUAUCCAUCUAUUACACUGAAUCAUAUUCAAUUUAUAACACAUUAGGUUCCCCAGGGCUUUUCCAGUGACAUCAAAUUGUUUCAUUCUAAUGACUUGUUACAAUCCCAAGUGCUCAGGACGGGGGGGCGGGGGGCCUGGGGAAGUAGGCUGGUCCUCCUUCAGUGGUAAAAUCUCCAGGAUAUAAAACUUGGGAGCUCUUUACCACCAUGUGUAAAAAGCUGGUUGGCUACAGAGAGAUAGAAAGGAGCUGACCCAGAAAGAGAAGCAAAAGCGGGAGAUCACAAGGAAGUCCCGGCAGAACCAAAGUCCCUGGAUCUUGUUACUCCUGAAGUCUCACCAUCUCUCCAUCCUUCCUGCCGCUUCAUUGUUCAAUUCUUCCCUGGAUUCCAUGAGCAAUCUUCAUAAUCGCCAAUUAAAUUCUCUCCUUCACUAAGCAUACGGCCUCACAUAAAACUGCAAUUGUAUAGGAAGUCUAACAAUUUAUAUUCCCAUGGCACGAUUGAGAUAUAAGAACUGGGAUCAACUGUCAAGAAAGGGAUUGCUUUCACGUCCCCUGCACCAGGUUACCCUCACUGCCCUCCAAAUUUCAUUAAUGGGUCUGGGAAGCUGGGUCAGGCACCGGCUGGUUCCAACUGCUCAGGCAACACGCCAGAGAGGGAAGCCAACAGCACAAAGAACACCUAGCUCCAAUUCUAUGGCCAACUGUUCAGAGAGCUAAGAUGGGCAUUCUGUGGCCAUGCACGUGACUCGCAUCCCUGCUUGGACCAAAAGAAAACAGCAAAGGUGGCCAAGAAACAGAUCUAGAUGAUCAGUAAAGCCUGACUUCAAUCUCCCUAAAUGAAGCUGAGCUGCAAAGUGGAUACUGAGCUAUUUUUGAACUGUUUAUAAAGACAGGACAUGGACUUUACAAAAUGGUCCAUUUAACACGAAACGUUUGCAAAUGAUGGGGCUAAUUUCUCAUGCUAAAAAAUUAUAACAAGCUGACUUUCAGGAUAACCACUGGGGUCCUUAGUGACAGGCUCACUGGAUGGCAGUAAUCUUUCUGGAAUUAUAAAGUAAUCACUUAAUUUUUGACAAGCAGAGCCAGGAAAGGUUUUCGAUUUUGUGUUUGCUAAUUGUCAAUGGUUGGUUAGCAAGUGGGUUACUUAGAAAACACAGAUGCAGUUGUAACCGGAUGAUCUCAGAGAAACAGCUGGAAGAAUUCUGAGCUUGGGCAAUUUUUGAUACACCUACACACUCACACUAACUCUAUAAACCAACUUUCCUUCUCACGCGCUGCCAUCGUUGCCCCUCCCAAUCUAAGCUUCGCACUGACUCUGCAGAGCUUUCUCAGUGCAGGAUCAUGGUUCGCCUGGCCAGCUCUCCGGUAGCCUGGCAGAAAAGAACUAUUCGAGCCCUUUCUUACAAGCAGUCUGUUUUUUUCUCAGCCAUAAACCUCUUCUCCAUAUCUAAGAACCCUUUGUGGUAAAAAAAUAUAUGAUCGCAUGCAUUACUUAACACACAUCUGCUGACUUUACACACUCCUUGAGGCAAAUGCGUUUCAAUUUGAAAGAAUUUAAGAAUCUAGCUAAGUGAAGUCAGCUAUACAAUGAGACACCAACAUCAAAUGCUUUCACUGACAUGUGGAAUCUGAAAAAAGGACAGAAUGAACUUUUUUGCAGAACAGAUACUGACUCACAGACUUUGAAAAACUUACGGUCCCCAAAGGAGACCAUUUGGGGGGUUGGGGGAAUGCACUGGGGUUGUGGGAUGGAAAUCCUAUAAAAUUGGAUUGUGAUGAUCAUUGUACAACUAUAAAUGUAAUAAAUUGAGUAAUAAAAAAUUUUUAAGUAAAAUAAAGUGUAUUAUCCUCAUCAAAAAAAAAAAAAAAAUCUAGCUCCUAAGUGUAGUAUUCAACUCUUGAAACCCUCAAAGUCUAAAACAUGGCUUGUUGGGGGAAAUACAAAUUUAGGGAUUCCAAGUAAAGACUUCUGGAAUGAAACUAUGUGAGUCCUUGCUUUAUUUACUACUGGAUAACUGUGCAGCCUUGGGAUAAUUCAUCAACACCUCUACAUGUAAUUCUCUUCAUCCAUAAACCUAGGACAAUAAUCAUACCUGUAUUAUAUUUUGUUAGGAUUAAAUGCAACCAGGUAUUUCAAAAACGUAAGCCAUUUACUAGUGACAGAAUGAAAGAACAUUUCUGCUUUUUUAUUUCACUCUUCACACAGUGAAUUUUAAUUCAUCUUUCAUUUUUUCUAUACUGAAGGAUUAUACCUAUGCAAUUUCUUUGAAAAUUGUUUUUAACUCUGCUCAACUAAAAACUAUUAUAUUAAUCAGUUAUUUCCAAGAACUAGAGGUUAGCAGGCAAAAGUCACUAGCCUUUGACCAAUUCUCUGAUUUCAACUUAGUUUUUCUAAAAAUGAGUAACUAUUUGAUUUUUGAUAUCUUGAUCAAAUCACUAGCCUUUACGCCUUUUGAUUUUGCCAUUCAACAUAACAUCGAAGUUGGGAUUGGUUUCUUUAGCAGUGAGAGAUUGAUGCUGCCAGUAACAGAAUUAUAGAUGGGUAUAUGAAAGAGAAGGGAACACAUUUUUAGAAAAUAAAGCGUGAGAAAGGAAUGAGCAUUCAGAGUUAAUGAGAUGCUAAGAAGUCUUGAAUUGGCAAAAGCAGGAGUAAAGUGCUACAUAUCUGUGAAUAAAUACAACUGGUUAUUAGUUUAUUUUGAUAGCUUUAAAACACAAAAAAAGAAUGGCAAAUAUGACGUAACUGCAAUGACACAUCU
rnacentral:lncRNA from 1 species